UUGAACGCUGGCGGCAGGCUUAACACAUGCAAGUCGAGCGGAGAUGAGGUGCUUGCACCUUAUCUUAGCGGCGGACGGGUGAGUAAUGCUUAGGAAUCUGCCAUUUAGUGGGGGACAACAUUCCGAAAGGAAUGCUAAUACCGCAUACGUCCUACGGGAGAAAGCAGGGGAUCUUCGGACCUUGCGCUAAAUGAUGAGCCUAAGUCGGAUUAGCUAGUUGGUGGGGUAAAGGCCUACCAAGGCGACGAUCUGUAGCGGGUCUGAGAGGAUGAUCCGCCACACUGGGACUGAGACACGGCCCAGACUCCUACGGGAGGCAGCAGUGGGGAAUAUUGGACAAUGGGGGGAACCCUGAUCCAGCCAUGCCGCGUGUGUGAAGAAGGCCUUAUGGUUGUAAAGCACUUUAAGCGAGGAGGAGGCUACUGAGACUAAUACUCUUGGAUAGUGGACGUUACUCGCAGAAUAAGCACCGGCUAACUCUGUG
rnacentral:rRNA from 1 species